GCAAAGUCAACCAAUACUAUAGCUUAACAGCACAAAAAUUGUCUUGCCAACUCCUUCCAUGAGUUGUUAAUCUUAAAAAGAAUGGUCAUGAUGAUACAGAAAAAUUAAAAGAGACAUUCAAAACUUACAAGAGGAAGUGAAACUUAUGUCUUACAAAACAAAAAAACAACCAUAAGUCCACACACCACUAUUUAGAAAACUAAUUAUAAAAGACUGAACAACAGUAAACCACCAAAAACAAGAGGCGACAUGUUUAAUAGCAGAUUCACAAUCACGUAAAUAAGUAUUGUUGACCCUGAUUCCGCGCCAUAGCCACACAUAUACAUGUAUAUACUAUUUAAAAAGACUGUAACAGUUAAACAUAAACUUCAUAAUCAUCUAUUUAAGGGAGGGUAAAAAAAAUCUAAACUUUUUUUAUAUACUAAUUUAUAUAAAACUAUUAUUAUUUUUUCUUUCUUAGGUUUAUCAAAUAUGUUCUUUGGUGUAUGAUCAGAUCCUGUAUAUACUAUAGUAUAGAUCUAACAAGCUUUUAAAAGAAAAGAAAAUUAUGUUUUAGGUAAAUAUAAAUGAUGCAUACAUUGUAUAUAUAUAGGAUACAUUGAGUUAUUCAAAGACAAUUUCCAAACAUGUCUACAAAAUUUAUCAUUUACUAUAUAUAUAUUACUUUAAUGAUGUUUGCUUGUCAUGUUUUGUGAUUUUUGUCAGAUUAUCAGAAUCCUCAGGUUUUAUUCAUUUAUCGUCUUUAAAAAAUUCCCCCAAUUGACCCCCAUUUUUCUUUCUAUAAAUCUUUUAGAUGUAAAACUAUAUGCCAUCUGUCAUGUCUGGAAAAGUCUUAUAAAAUCUUUGUUAUUUUUUUAAUAGUUUUUAUACGACCGCAAAAAUUAAAAAAAAAUUUGGUCGUAUAUGGUAUGAUGUUGAUGUCGUCCGAAUACUUUUAGUUUUCGCACUCUAACUUUAGUAAAAGUGAAUAGAAAUCUAUGAAAUUUUAACACAAGGUUUAUGACCACAAAAGGAAGGUUGGGAUUGAUUCUGGGAGUUUGGUCCCAACAUUUUAGGAAUUAGGGGCCAAAAAGGGCCAAAAUAAGCAUGUUCUUGGUUUUCGCACUAUAACUUUAGUUUAAGUAAAUAAAAAUCGAUGAAAUUUUGACACAAGGUUUAUGACCACAAAAGGAAGGUUAGGAUUGAUUUUGGGAGUUGAGGUCUGAACAGUUUAGGAAUUAGCGGCCAAAAAGGGGCCCAAGUAAGCAUUAUUCUUGGUUUUCGCACCAUAACUUUAGUAUAAGUAAAUAGAAAUCUAUGAAAUUUAAACACAAGGUUUAUGACCACUUAAGGAAGUUGGGUCCCAACAGUUUAGGAAUAAGGGCCCAAAGGGUCCAAAAUUGAACUUUGUUUGAUUUCAUCAAAAAUUGAACAAUUGGGGUUCUUUGAUAUGCCGAAUCUAACUGUGUAUGUAGAUUCUUAAUUUUUGGUCCCGUUUUCAAAUUGGUCUACAUUAAGGUCCAAAGGGUCCAAAAUUAAACUUAGUUUGAUUUAACAAAAAUUGAAUUCUUGGGGUUCUUUGAUAUGCUGAAUCUAAAAAUGUACUUAGAUUUUUUAUUAUUGGCCCAGUUUUCAAGUUGGUCCAAAUCAGGGUCCAAAAUUAAACUUGUUUGAUUUCAUCAAAAAUUGAACAAUUGGGGUUCUUUGAUGUUGUCGAAUCUAACUGUGUAUGUAGAUUCUUAAUUUUUGGUCCCUUUUUCAAAUUGGUCUACAUUAAGGUCCAAAGGGUCCAAAAUUAAACUAAGUUUGAUUUAACAAAAAUUGAAUCCCUGGGGUUCUUUGAUAUGCUGAAUCUAAAAAUGUACUUAGAUUUUUGAUUAUUGACCCAGUUUUCAAGUUGUUCCAAAUCGGGGUCCAAAAUUAAACUUUGUUUGAUUUCAUAAAAAAUUGAAUAAUUGGGGUUCUUUGAUAUGCCAUAUCUAACUGUGUAUGUAGAUUUUUAAUGCUUAGUCCCGUUUUUUUGGUCUACAUUAAAGUCCAAAGGGUCCAAAAUUAAACUUAGUUUGAUUUUAAAAAUAUUUGAAUUCUUGGGCUUUUUUGAUAUGCUGAAUCUAAACAUGUACUUAGAUUUUUUGAUUAUGGGCCCAGUUUUCAAGUUGGUUCAAAUCAGGAUCCAAAAUUAUUACAUUAAGUAUUGUGCAAUAGCAAGAAAUUUUCAAUUACACAGUAUUCAGCAAUAGCAAGAAAUCUUUAAUUGCACAGUAUUGUGCAAUAGCAAGAAAUUUUCAAUUGCACAGUAUUGCGCAAUAGCAAGAAAUCUUCAAUUGCACAGUAUUGUGCAAUAGCAAAUAUUUUCAAUUGCACAGUAUUGCACAAUAGCAAGAAAUAUAGAAAUUUUCAAUUGAUUAUUGAUUAUUAUCUUUCUUUGUCCAGAAUAGUAGUUGAAUCAACUUCUUAAAUCAUUGUUUUAUACAAUAUACAAUGUAUAUUCACUUUUACUACCAACUGAUAAAUUAAAACAAUUUUUACCAUUCAGCAUUGUUCAGUGAUAACAAGCACCUUUUGUUACAUUUUAAUAUUUUAUGAUGUAUUUAAAUGAGUAGUUAUUGUUGCAAACUCCAUUAGAAAUUUGAAUUGAGAUCAGUUUUGGAAAAAGGGAAAGGGGGAUGUGAAAAAAAAAAAUAUGCGGAGCAUCUGGUUUAGAACUUAAAUUGACAUUGAUAAAGCUAUAAAAAAUCAAAGAGAGAACAUUUUCCUGCCAAAAUUUAAAUGGCUAAUAUCUGGAAAACACGCACAUUGGCCUAUAUAUUUUUUUUGUUUCUUUAUUAAUCACCUAUCGAUAUGCAUUCUAUGUACUAGUAUUAAGAAAAGCUUGAUAUUUUGAAACUGAGUAGGGAACUUCCAUAAAUUAAAAUAUAUUUGGUGUGUCAGAUGAUUUGCAUAUCUGUCUUUGUUCAUUGGUUAGUGUUAGUUUUCAUGGUAAUGUCUUUUUCCCAGAUACUAUAAUCAAUCUAUCAACUAUAUAUGUAGCUAGGAAUGAUUGCAUAGUGUAGGUGGUGUCUGCAGUGUUCAUUUGACCUAAACCUCAUUUUUAGCUCACCUGGCCUUGGCCAAGUGAGCUUUUCUCAUCACUUUGCAUCCGUCGUUGAUAACUUUUACAAAAAUCUUAACCUCUGAAACUACUGGGCAAAAUUAAAGCAAACUUGGCCACACUCAUCAUUGGGGUAUCUAGUUUCAAAAAUGUGUCUGGUGACCCAGCCAACCAACCAAGAUGGCCACCAUGGCUAAAAAAAAGAACAUAGGGGUAAAAUGUAGAUUUUGACUUAUAUCUCUGAAACCAAAGCAUUUAGAGCAUAAUUCAAGAUCUACCUGCCCUGAAAUGUUCAGAUGAGUAGAACAACCGGUUGUUGGGUUGCUGCCCCUGAAUUGGUAAUUUUAAGAAAUUUUGCAGAUUUUGGUUAUUAUCGUGAAUAUUAUUAUAGAUCGAGAUAAGCUGUAAACAGCAAUAAUGUACAGUAGAGUAAGACCUACACAUAGUUAAGGAAUGAAAUGGUCAAUUGACCCCUUAAGGAGUUAUUGCCCUUCAUAGUCAUUUUUUUAAAAUUUUCACAAUAUUUUUUUAACUACUGAGCCAAGUUCAUUAAUUUAUAGAUAGAUAUAAUUGUAAGCAGCAAGAAUGUUCAGUAUAGGUAGAUCUACACACACAUCACCAUCACCAAAACACAAUUUUGUCAUGAAUCCAUCUGUGUCCUUCAUUUAUGAUAUGCACAUAGACAAAGGUGAGCGACACAGUCUCUAGUUAUGAUACAUACUGAUAAGUCAAUGUACAGUUUUCUAACUUGUAUAAAAAUUAGAUUAUAUGUGGUACGAUUGCCACUGAGACAACUCACCACAAGAGACUGUACAGCCUUUAAGAAUGACCAAUGGUCAGUUACUCAGAUAUGAUAUUAGCAAUAGGCUAAUUUGGUGUAUUGCGUUACAUUAAUUCACUGAUACAUGUAUAUCAGACUUUUUAGUUUUGAGAUAAGUAAAGCAGACUUGUGUUUAUAAAAAGGACAUAUCUCCAUUCCUGACAAACAUCUACAUAUAUUCAUGCUGGGAUUUGAAUAAAAAUUAUGUUUCAGUAUACUUUGCUAUUCCAUUAAAAAAAAAUGAUUUCCCACGGUCCACCAAACUACAUUUUCUUUUGUUUUUACAUUACAGCUGCUGAAGAAAUCUUU
rnacentral:lncRNA from 1 species